rnacentral:rRNA from 1 species
AUUGAACGCUGGCGGCAGGCUUAACACAUGCAAGUCGAGCGGGGAAAGGUAGCUUGCUCCCUGACCUAGCGGCGGACGGGUGAGUAAUGCUUAGGAAUCUGCCUAUUAGUGGGGGACAACAUCUCGAAAGGGAUGCUAAUACCGCAUACGUCCUACGGGAGAAAGCAGGGGACCUUCGGGCCUUGCGCUAAUAGAUGAGCCUAAGUCGGAUUAGCUAGUUGGUGGGGUAAAGGCCUACCAAGGCGACGAUCUGUAGCGGGUCUGAGAGGAUGAUCCGCCACACUGGGACUGAGACACGGCCCAGACUCCUACGGGAGGCAGCAGUGGGGAAUAUUGGACAAUAGGGGGAACCCUGAUCCAGCCAUGCCGCGUGUGUGAAGAAGGCCUUUUGGUUGUAAAGCACUUUAAGCGAGGAGGAGGCUACCGAGAUUAAUACUCUUGGAUAGUGGACGUUACUCGCAGAAUAAGCACCGGCUAACUCUGUG